GCUGUGGGGACAUAAUACAGUCACUCCUGCGCUGCUACCUCUGGGACCAUCAUGCCUUGUUUCUUCCAUGGAUUUAAUUGACCACUUCCCUCUUUGGACCUGGCACACUUCCCUGCUACACCCAUACUCAUCCUCCAAAGCCUCAGCUCUCAAGACCUCUUCUAGGAAGCAUUGUCCUGAUUGUGACCACUGUCCUCACCCUCUGCUCUGGGUUCUAACUGUCUCUUUUCUUUCACCCCCCGCCACUUGACUUCUCCCUGAAAACAGGGGCUGGCUUGGUUCUUGCUGUGAACACUCCCAGCAUAGGCUGCCUUACACAUAGGCCUCAUGAAAUAUUUCCCCACAUGCUCUUGACAAUGAUCUCUAUCUUGCAGCUCCUUUCUGUUCCGUUCAUUAUACUUUGCUGUAUCUGAAAACUCCUGUCCUUUUAACUGUAUUUAUGUGUCUGAAAAGACUAGGGCUGAAGUCCUCACUCUCCGUUGCAUCCCCAGCCCCUGAUGAUAGAUGUUUAGUAACCAUUUUGAGACUAGGUUUGUUGUAGCCCAGGUUGUCCUUGAAUUCAUGAUGCAGCUAAGAUUGACCUUGAAUUCCUGAUUCUCCAGCCUCCACCUUCCAAGUGCUGGACUUACAGGCUUAAGAUACUAUGCUUUCCUCUGUAAGACAGGCUCUCACUACAUAGCCCAGGUUUUCCUGAAAGUCUGGGUCCUCCUGAUUCUCCUAAAUGCUGGAAUUACAAGGGUGCACCACCAUGUCUGCCUCUGUCCAAUCCUUACACACGGCCAAACUGCCCACCAGCAUUCCCGGGAGAGGGAAGGGGCAUGACCCAUCGAAAGUGCUUGAGCUAGGUAAGCACUGAGUCGGUUAAGCUGAUUACUGUUGUUUUCAGACAUAAAACUCAGUAAUUAUAAUUAAUAUAUAUAUAGAAAAUCUUGUGCAGUGUAACAUGUAUUAUGAUAUAUUAGCUUAUCACAUACUGUGUGGUUCGAUACAUUAAACAAAACAUAUUAGUUGUUACUAAUUUCCCAUGUUAUAGCGAAUGUACUAUGUAGACUAGAGCAUAUUAUUCAUUAGUGUUAUAUAUUCAUACCUAGUAUAUACUAUGUAAUAUAUUUCUCCAUGCCAUUCCUCUUCCAUCAUGUGUGCCUGUGCCUGUUUAUGUGGGUGCAUGUGUGUAUGUUCAUGUUGAGGCCCUAGCUGAGUCUUCUUUCUCAGGACCUCUCCACCUUGUUCAUUGAAACACAGUCUCUUGCUGGCCUGGAGCUCACCAAGUGGUCUAAGCUGGCUGACCAGUGAACCCCAAGGAUCUACUUCUCUCUCUCUGAUGCUUCAAGGAAGCACUUGUUGCCCAGGCAGUAACGCCACAGGCCCUGGUGUGCAAAGGACCCUGACAGCCGGUAUUGCAUCCAAUGGUCCGUCGCUGUGGCUACCACCAACAGGAUGGUCCCCACCCAGGCACAGAAGAGGCCGCCACCCAUGAAGCUGUACAUGGUGAUCUGUGAAAAGGGGAGAGCUGAGGUUAUAAAUGGUUAUCCUGGGCCUGAGGGAGGAGGGUUGGUUUCUGGACCCUUGAGUGAAAGGAAGGUGGGGGAAUAGACUUAUGGACCUCAAGGAAGAGAGCAGGGGUGGAGACUGGACUCUUGGAUCUGAGGGAAGAGGGCAGGUGCCCGAACUCCUGGGUCUGAGGGAGGAGGGCAGGUGCCUGAACCCCUGGGUCUGAGGGAGGAGGGCAGGUGUCUGAACCCCUGGGUCUGAGAGAGGAAGGCAGGUGCCUAGACCCCUGGGUCUGAGGGAGGAGGGCAGGUGCCUGGACCUCUGGGUCUGAGGGAGGAGGGCAGGUGCCUGGACCCCUGGAUCUGAGAGAGGAAGGCAGGUGCCUAGAGCCCUGGAUCUGAGUGAGGGGGGCAGGUGCCAGGUGUCUGAACCCCUGGGUCUGAGGGAGGAGGGCAGGUGUCUGAACCCCUGGGUCUGAGGGAGGAGGGCAGGUGUCUGAACCCCUGGGUCUGAGGGAGGAGGGCAGGUGCCUGGACCCCUGGAUCUGAAGGAAGAGGACUGGACAUCUGGAUUCUUCAUUCUGAAUGGAAGAUGUCCAUAAACCUCUAUUGGCUCUUGGAGAGGAAGGGCUGGAGCUGGGAUUCAAGUUCCCAGGAGAGAAGGGCCUGGGAGCCUAGACUUCUUGGGUAGGGGGCUGCUGGUUUCAUGCUGGUGCCUACCUGAGUGGCAGAGUCUGUUCUGAGCCCUCCUUCUGCCACAGUCCCUCUGUGGAUACUGAGCCGAGCCAGGUUGCUGGCAUCUCCGCCUCGUGGUCCCCCCAAAUCCCUUAAGCCUCCCCACACAAUGGCUCCACGGCCCAGCAGCUUCCAGCAGCGGCAGCAGAGGCCCCAAUGGAAUUUGCUGAAGCAGGGGACAAAGGGGCCCCAUCAACCUCUGUCUGUGAUCCUCCCCAUCUCCCAGGCUUUAUUCCCAGUCCCCACCCUGGGUAUCCUGAACUUUGCAGAAAGCACAGCCCACACAAUGAGAUAAGAGUAGACAUCCUUUUAUUGUUCAACCCGGACUUCCCAGCUCGAGGGACAGGAAGCAGCAACGGUGGGGCUGAAUACAGGUGUCUAGACAUGUCAGGCCGAGGUGUUCUUUGUAGGGUAGAAGCCCUACAAAGGGUUUGUCAGAGCUGGGCUGGGACAUAGCAGAUACUGGGCUGGAGUUGAGCUGAGUGCUGUUGUUAAAUGAAGGUGAAUAUGAGAUAUGGUGAAUGCAAAGUGAGAACCAGGAAGUGUGGAGUGAGCCCAGGCUAGUAGCCUAACCAAUCUUAGCAGUCGACUGACUGAGAGAGAAGGACUGGUGUGACUGAUUUUAAAACAAAGCAAAAGGAGCUGGGAAUGACGGGAGGCCUUGUACACCAGACCUAUAAUCCCAGAUACCUGGAAGCUGAGACAAGAGAGUCGCAAGUUCAAGGCCAGCUUGGACACGUGUCGAGACUCUCUCUCAAGUUCUAGACCAAAGACUUCCUACCUCAAGCUCAGGGAUCAAGUCCCAGCCUUCCAGGAGUCCAGGCUCUAGUCGUCCUCCCUCAGACCCUCACCUUCCUCACUUAGAUCCAAGGAUUCAGAUCCAGCCUCCUCCAUCAGACCUAACCUCCUCCAUCAGACCCAGCACAUUCGUAAAGAGCCUGAGAGAGCCAGAAGACGGCAUCAGAUCAUCAGAUCCCCUGGAACUUGGUUAUAGAUGAUUGUGAGCUGCCAGGUUCAGCUCUACUUGGAACGAGGGCAACUCUCCAUCUUGACUGUCUAUGUACCUGGUUCUUUAAAGGCAGCUUCCUCCCCUUCGUUCUGAUUCUGGCCCUGGGUAGGUGGAGGCCAUACCUCCUUGUACCCAGGAAGUAAGCUGUACUCAGUUCCUAAUCUGGGUAAACCAUUAAGCUUGGUUGUCUUCUGAAUGGGACCGGAAAUGGGGCCACUGUCACCUUCUUCUGCUUCAGAAGCUGUUUUUACAUCCAGAAGAGAGCGUCACAAACUGCGUAACUUACAAAUGGAAGAACCGUUCUGCAAAGUGCUAGAAGGUUCAACACCUGGCAAGGAACCAGCGUGAACCUGUGUUAGGUGGGUAGGGAGGUUAUAGGGUUUGGAGUGAAUUUGAAGUCAAGAUGUGAGAUCUCUUGGUAUAUUCAUUCAUUCACUUAUUUUUUAGGUUUAAUUUUUGUUUUGUUUUGUUUCGAGACAGGGUCUCACUACGAUAACCGGGAUGGGCUGGAAACGCUCUCUGUAAAACGGUCUCGGCUCAAGCUCAAAGAUAUAUGUCUCCCAAGUGCUUGCAUUAGUGGCGCAUGACACUACCUACUGUGCUUCAUUUAGGAGAGCCUCACAUAGCUUACUCUGGCCUUGAGCUCGUUAUGCAGUAAAAGAUGAUCUUAAACUCCCCAUCUUCCUUACAAGAGCGCACCUAUCAUGGCCUCUUUCUGUGACACUGGUGAUCAGACCCAGGUUUGCACACAUCCUAGGCGAGCACUCCCCUAACUAAGCCAUGUUCCCAACAUACACCAACAAGCUGUGUGCUAUCAUACAGUGGUGGAACUGGCCAAGCUGUGCGGUGCUAUUCUUUUGUUGCUGUUGUUGUUUUGAGGCAGGGUUCCUGGAAUUCAAUAUGUGUACCAGGUUGGUCUCAAACUCACAGAAAACCACCCGCCUCUGCCUCGCAAAGAUGUGAGCCACCAUGCCUAGCAAGAGGACCUUAUUCUCUUCUCAAGAGACAAAAGAAUCUGCAAUUCCCUCUUAGAGAAGCCCACACCCAUGCUCUCGGGUAUUUUGUCCUUCCUUCUGAGUCUCUUAAUUCUAGUGAUUAAACCUAGUCUAGUGAUUAAAUUGAAAUACCCAAUUGAGGGGUUGAUGAGAUGGAUCAGUGGUCAAGAGCACUGGCUGCUCUUCCAAAAAACGAACAAACAAACAAACAAACAAACCUGGGUUCCGUUCCCAGCACCCACAUGGCAACUCACAACCACCUAUAACUCCAGUUUCCGGGAUCUGAUGCUUUCUUCUGACUACCCCGGGCACUAGACAUGCACACACCAAACUUCCAGAUAUGCAGGCAAAACACUCAUACCCAUAAAAUACUCAUACCCAUAAAAUAGUGAACAAAUCUUUAUUUACAGCUCCCCCUAAGACAGAAAGAUUGAGCUGAAGCCAACCAUGUCUUCCUACUUUUGCUCCAAGGAAAGCCCAUUUCUAGAUACUCACCUUGCAGAGAGUCAGAAACCCAGCUUUCGCCAAGAGAGGCUACAGUCGUGGCCGUUUGGAUCAAGAAUCACUUCUCCUUUUAGUGGUCAUUGUAUCCCCCAAGACUUUGCAGAGCAAGGCUAAGAAGUGGGAAUGGAAUAAUUAAAAAGUACUUUCAGAGUCAACCAGUCUGUUCCUUCUAGGGUCAAGGGUCACGGUGAAGCAGUUUGGAUGGGAGAGAGCAACUGGAAUUUGAGCUGAGCUUAAACUUUUGAUUUAGGACUGGUGGGCUAAGCCUUGCUGCCCGUUCUAUUCAUCCUAUCUCAGUUAAUUCUCCCUUCCCUUCACUGGGUCCCAGGGAUAGAACUCAAGUCAUCCACCAGCUUGGCAGCAGGCGCCUGUGCCUGCUAAAUCCUCACCAGCUCCUGGCUGACUCUUGGAAUAUCAGAGUUGGGUUUGGGAUAUGGCUCAGGCAGUAAAGCGCUUGCUUAAUAUGCACAAACCCCAGGUUCAGUCUCCAGUACUCCAUAAACCAGGUGUGGUUGGCACAUGCCUGUGAACCACCAUUUGGGAGAUAGAACCAGAGGGCCGGAAGUUCUGGGUUAUUGUUUGGUUUUAGGCCCCAGGACAAGGGACUGAGAUGCAUGUCUUACGUGCCAAAGGACACCUGGCCUCCAGGUUUUCCCAGCAUCCUUCAGUCUCUACCUGGUAGACCCUACCCUCAACCAUGAACUUUCCAGCCAGGAGGCUAGGUUGCCCUUCCCCCAGAGGCUCUUCAGUAUACACUCCAGACGGUUUGGUCUCCGCGCUCUCCUUCUCUCUUUUCUUCUCAUUCUCUCCUCUCUCUGUGUAUGUACACAUACCCUUUCUCUCUUUUCCUUCUUGCUCCCAUCCCCGUGGUGACUUCCCUGGCCUUGGUCCUUGGGGCAGGUGAACUCUUCUGAGAGCAGUUCCCAAUAAACCUGCAAGUCCUCUAGUCUAGUCUAGUCUAAUCUAAUCUAGUCUAGUCUAGUCUAAUCUAAUCUAAUCUAGUCUAGUCUAGUCUAGUCUAGUUAAUCUAGUCUAAUCUAGUCUAGUCUAAUCUGUCUUGAAUUGGCUCAUUUCACUGGUAGAGAAAUAAUUUAUCAGAUAUCUUCUGCUACAUGUGUAGCUUGAGGCCAGACUACAUGUAUGGCAUGUACAUACAUACUUAUUUACACACACACACACACACACACACACACACACACACACACACACCAAAAAACCAGUCAGACAUGGUGGCCCACUCUAUUAAUUUUAGCACUGAGGAAGCAGACUAAGGAAGAUCUCCAUGAAUUCAAGGCCACCUUGGUCUAUCUAGUGGGUUGCAAACCAGUGAGGGCUAUACAGAGGGAGGUUCUGUCUAAAAGUACAAACCAGCCAACAAAAAGAAACUCAAAAGAAAUAAAUCACUGGUGAGUAAAAGACUUCAUAAAUGGUGAUAAAAACAGAGUCUUUAAAAAUUAUGUUUUGUAUCUGAAGGUCAGAGGACAACUUGGGGGAGUCAGCUCUGUCCUUCCAACAGGUGGGUCCUGAGGAUUGAACUCAGGCCUCUGGGCCUGGUGAGAAAUAGCCUAAUCUGCUAAGCCAUCAUGUUAGUCCAGGAAAGAGUUUUAACAGAACAACCCUGGAUCAGCCAUUAGCAAAAUAAAGCUAUCUUGUGCUUACAUGUCUUGAAGAUAUUGGUCCCUGAGGCUGGUUGAAGAGGCAUCAUGGUGGUCCCUUGAGUUUAACCUGGGUUUCCUGACUCCUGGGCUGGUGUUCUUCUCCACCCCCACCAUUAACACAACACUGCUGGUCCUGGAGAGUUCUGGGCAAUAGCACUUUUCCCUCAAGUCCUAAGCCGUUAUUGCAAAAGUCAUGACUUUAACACAUGUAUUUUGAAAUAACUGACCUCUGCCUAAGUCUGUUCCUUUAGUAACACAGACUUACAAACUCCAAGGCAAAAGAGUCAUUCAAGGGGAAGUUUCAGAGUUUCAACUGGAGUAUAAUAGGAUCUCCCAUCCUUACGUUCCUAAUGGACACCCACCCUGCUUUUUGUGGAGGACCUUCCAGUGUCCACCCUACAACUUGUCAUGUUCACCCACUCUAGAGUCUAGCUGAGUCUCUCCCCACACCCAUUUUGUGCGUGCGUGUGUGUGUGUGUGUGUGUGUGUGUGUGUGUGUGUGUGUAAGAGAUGAUGUCAGGAAUAAUCUCCAAAACUCUUCUACCUUACUCAAUGAGUCAGAGUGUGGUGGUUUGAAUGAAAAUGGUCCCUAUAGGUUCAUAUGUUUGAAUACUUGGCCCCAAGUUGGUGGAACAUUUGGGAAGAAUUAAGCAAUGUGGUCUUGUUGAAGAAGUUGCUGUUGGAGGAGGUAUGUUACUGGAGACAGGCUUGAAGUCUCAAAAGUCCACAUCAUUCUGAUGUAGCUCUCUGUUUCAUGUUUCAUGGCAAUAGAAAAAUAACUAAGCCACAGGGUCUCUCGAUCAAAGCUAGCAGCAUGCCUGAUGCUGCCUGCCUACCUGCCAUUAUCCCUGCUAUUAUAAUUAUGGACUCUUAACCCUCUGGAACCAUGAGCCUCCAAAUUAAAUGCAUUCUUUCACAGGU